rnacentral:rRNA from 1 species
CAGUAGCCGCGGUAAUACGUAGGGUGCAAGCGUUAAUCGGAAUUACUGGGCGUAAAGCGCACGCAGGCGGUUUGUUAAGUCAGAUGUGAAAUCCCCGAGCUUAACUUGGGAACUGCAUUUGAAACUGGCAAGCUAGAGUCUUGUAGAGGGGGGUAGAAUUCCAGGUGUAGCGGUGAAAUGCGUAGAGAUCUGGAGGAAUACCGGUGGCGAAGGCGGCCCCCUGGACAAAGACUGACGCUCAGGUGCGAAAGCGUGGGGAGCAAACAGGAUUAGAUACCCCAGUAGUCCCUGUCUCUUAUAA